UCUGCAUGACUUACCUCCAGCAAGCUCCUCCAGGCUUGGAACGUGAAAAGCAAACCUUUCAACUUUGGCCAUUUCCUAAUUGUUACUGAUUUCUUCAGGUAAGAAAUAUAUUAUCACACACUGUAGAAGUGACUGAUCUCAAUCACUAAACAGAAAAACUAGAUAAAGCUCAGUGUCCCAUAAAAAACACCAUCUGAUCGCUAUGUAGUAGUCGACCUGGAAG